rnacentral:rRNA from 1 species
CCUACGGGAGGCAGCAGUGGGGGAUAUUGCACAAUGGGGGAAACCCUGAUGCAGCGACGCAGCGUGAGGGAAGAAGUAUUUCGGUAUGGAAAGCUCUAUCAGCAGGGAAGAAAAUGACAGUACCUGACCAAGAAGCCCCGGCUAACUACGUGCCAGCAGCCGCGGUAAUACGUAGGGGGCAAGCGUAAUCCGGAUUAACUGGGUGUAAAGGGAGCGUAGACGGUUAUGUAAGUCUGGAGUGAAAGCCCGGGGCCCAACCCCGGGACUGCUUUGGAAACUGUGUAACUUGAGUACAGGAGGGGCAGGCGGAAUUCCUGGUGUAGCGGUGAAAUGCUUAGAUAUCAGGAGGAACACCGGCGGCGAAGGCGGCCUGCUGGACUGUAACUGACGUUGAGGCUCGAAAGCGUGGGGAGCAAACAGGAUUAGAUACCCCUGUAGUC